rnacentral:rRNA from 1 species
GCCAGACAUCGAAAGUAGUCGCAAGAUUACGUUUCGGAAUACAAUAAAUGACGGCAAAGUGAAAUCAAAUUAUAUGUGAUCUGAGGUCUAUAAAAAUGGCCUACAGCGCAACAUAUGCCCACUCGUAUGGUUAUACGCGCAAGUGUUAACCGGGUGGAGCAAAGAGAUACUUGACUGGUACCCGAAAGAUGGUGAACUAUUCCUGGCCAGAUUGAAGCCAGAGGAAACUCUGGUGGAGGAUUGUAGCGAUUCUGACGUGCAAAUCGAUCGUCAGAGCUGGGUAUAGGGGCGAAAGACUAAUCGAACCAUCUAGUAGC